AACAAGGUUUUCCGAUGGUCCUUCUCGCCCACAGGGUUCGAGUCGCACGGAAGCCUGAGCAGACCAAAGGGAGAUGAUUCCUUGGGAUAUGCUAGUGCCCAAGCACUGCUUGAGCGCGACGCCGCCAAACUGCGGGGAAACCACUCUUUGCACCGAGGCUACCAAGCACGGCGGCCGCCAUCCCACCCAAUCUCGAUGUGGGAUAGCGGGCCGAGUGUGGCCAGGCCAGCGAGCCUGGUACGGUAAAAACGCCUCGUGCUGACCAGGUUUGGUCGGGGGUCAACCCGCAGCCAAUCCUGCUCCUACCUGGGAGCCGGUGCUGUUCACAGACUAGAUGGCGACGGGUCGUGCACAUUGCAGCGGCUCAAGAUAUAGUCGGUCCACCUUCGGGUGAGCUAGCCCAAGCCUUCUCGCAUGAGUAUUCACCGUUCCGUAGG
rnacentral:ncRNA from 1 species